rnacentral:lncRNA from 1 species
UAAAGCGGCUCUGCCGGAGCCCGGUACCCGGGAGUCCUUCAACAAGUUAAUUCACGUGGCAAAUAUUUACUGCCCGGCUGUAUUCUAGUGGGGACAGAGACGGUGAACAGAUGCAUGAAGAACGGUAAGGCAGCGGACGGGAAAUAGGAGAUUUCUAUUUAACGGAGAACGUUGCAUCCUUUCUCCUUACAGAGAAUUCAGGUCAGUGCCCGCGAUGGGCCAGGGUGUGUACUGGGCAGCGGAGAUACGACGGAUAAACAGGACACACGAAGAGACCUCAUGCGCCUUCCGAGCUGACAGGAGAGACAGAAAACACUUUCAUCACUUUCUCGUGGGAGGAGCAGCACGGAUGUACAGGGGUGAGAGGAACUGCGCGUGCUCAUCUCUGAACUUUAGCUCCAUAAAAAAGCAAUGACUCGGCCAUAAAAAAGAAUGAAAUCACGCCAUUUGCAGCAACAUGGAUGCAACUAGAGAUUCUCAUACUACGUGAAGUAAGUCAGACAGAGACAGAUACCAUAUGAUACCACUUAUAUGUGGAAUCUAAAAUAUGACACAAACGAACUUAUCUACGAAGCAGAAACAGACUCACAGACUUGUGGUUGCCUAGGGGGAGGGGGGAGGGGGAAGCUUGGACUGGGAAUUUGGGAUUAGUAGAGGCAAACUAUUAUAUACAGAACGGAUAAACAACAAGGUCCUCCUGCAGAGCACAGGGAACUAUAUUCAACAUCCUGUGAUAAACCAUCAUGGAAAAGACUAUGAAAAAGAAGGUAUAUAACUAAGUCACUUUGCUGUACAGCAGAAAUUAACACAACACUGUAAAUCAACUAUACUCCAAUUUAAAAAAGAACAGUGAUGACAAUGAUGCUGACACAGGGGUAGGGGAGUGUGGCUUAUGUAUAGAUGGAACAAUAAAGGGCCACAGGGUGAAGGUGGGUGAUAAGUACAUUAAACUAUUCUGUCCAUUUUAUGUACAGGUUUGAAUUUUUUCCAUAGUAAAGAGUUAAAAAAACAAAAACAAAAAACCAACUCUCUGGGCCAUGUACCCCGUGGAAACCCUUCAUGUCUCCCUGGGGUUAGGUUACCCUGUUUGAGAACUGUCUGGUCUUGAGUGCCACGCACCCAGUCUAUCAGGGCUGAGAGCUGUAUUGUACUUUUCCUGUUUACUGACCAACAAUGGAAGCAUUUUCUCUCAAUGCUUAUAAACCAGCUUCACUGUCCUAAAUUGUUGCCUAGCACACCCGUUUAGAGGAACAGUCCUCUGCUCCAUCCUUUUUUCUACCUCGGUCAAGGGUGGGGUGGGGUGAGAGAAAUAGGUUGAGAAAUAUGGUUAUAGGCUGAAGGAAAUAUGAAGUCUUGGAGGAUGCAAGCUAAGGGCCUAAGCCAUAGGAGGUUGUUUGUGCUCUAAUCAUGAAAGAUUAUUCCUCCUAACAAUUCAUCCUCUCCCCCAAUCCUCUCCCCCAGGCAUAGACACCCUCUGAAACAUUCUUGUUUUGUGGUGAAUUAGCCCUCUGCCUUCCACCAGAGACAGAAGGCUCUCUCCUUGGACACAGCUGAAUUGUUAUAAUGCACUUGGCUGCAAGAAAUAGAGAAUACAAUUAACUGUAGCUUAAAAAAUAAGUAGACUAUUUUUCUUACAUAAGUAAUCUAGAGAUUGGUUCAACUCAACAGUCCAAUAGGAUCCUAAACUGUUACUCUUUCUGUUCUGUCAUCCUUAGUAUGUUGACUCUGGUUUUUAUGCUUCUAGCCUACUGGCCACAAGAGGGCUGCAGUAUCAUCAGCUCCCCUAUCUGAGUUUCAGAAAUGAAAGGGAAAGGGGAAAAGAUCUUCUCUUCCCGAAGCUUUUUUUUUUUGGCUGUGCUGCGAGGCUUGCGGGAUCUUAGUUCCCUGACCAGGGAUCAAACCCAUGCCACGGCAGUGAAAGCACCGAGUCUUAACCACUGGACCGCCAGGGAAUUCCCAGCGAAGCCUUGUCUUUAAUUCAGGGAAGGAAGUCCCACCACGCCCUGUCUCAUUGAUGAGAAUGGGAUUACCUGCCCACACUGGCCACAGGGAGAGAGAAUACCAUAACUGGUUUAGACCAAUUAUAAUUCACACUUGGGGUUUGGGGAAGGGCCUGCUCCCUCUGAGAUUAAGGGCUCACCCUUAACUUCUUGAGCAGAUCCAAGUUGUAUUAGCAGGAAACAGGGGGUGUUGUUAGGAAGAAUGGCUGUGGGUAACGUAUCGAAAGUGCCUACUAGAAUAACCCACUUUUGGUGGAACAGUCCUGGCCAUGGAAAGAUUUUCCUCUAUUGAACUAACAUCCUCACCCUAGAUUUCCACUCCUAUUUUAGGUCCUGGUUUGCUCUCUCUGGAGUCACAGAAAGGGGUAGAUCCAGGUUUUAUUAGUUCUGAAAAUCAUUUAAUACAAUUGGUGGGGGGAGGGGAGGCUUAAGUGAAAUAAGACAGAUUUAAAUAUUGAAAGUAGAGUGAGAUACAGGGUCUUGGAAGAGGCCCAUACAAGUCAGGAGCUCUAAAGCUUAAAGCUGAUUAUCUUCACGGUAAAUCCACUUUUGCCCACAAGAAAAAACAUGGCCCCUCUUUCACACCACAGCCCUUUAUUUUUAAUUAAUUAAUUAAAAUUUUUUUUUUGGCUGUGUUGGGUCUUGGUUGCUGUGCGCGGGCUUUCUCUAGUUGCGGCAAGCGGGGGCUACUCUUCGUUGCGGAGCACGGGCUCUAGGUGUGUGGGCUCAGUAGUUGUGGCACGCAGGCUCAGUAGUUGUGGCUUAUGGGCUUUAGAGCACAGGCUCAGUAGUUGUGGUGCACGGGCUUAGUUGCUCCGUGGCAUGUGGGAUCUUCCCUGACCAGGUCUCAAACCCGUGUCCCCUACACUGGCAGGCGGAUUCUUAACCACUGUGCCACCAGGGAAGUCCCCACACCACAGUCCUUUAAAUAACUGAGGACAUUGGUCCCAAGUCUGCAAAACCCUCUCCCCUUGAUUUCCAAGCUCCUUACUUUCUCAGCCAGCUUGUCUGAACUGGUCCACACGGGUGGGCCAUUCAUGCUGAGGCAUUCUGAGUGGAGUGAAGCAGAGAGAAUUCGAGUAUGAGAGUCAGUCCUCCUGGAGGCUGAAGGGGCCCUGCCUUCCACAAGCUUCCACUGAGAAGACCCUUGCUGAUUAGUAGAACAUUGCAGAAGUGAUGGUGUGGGACUUCCAUCAUAAAUGACAGUGCCCUUCUGCCUUGCCCUCUCAGAUUGCUCACUGUGGGGGACAGCAGCCACCAUGUCACGAAGACACUCAAGGAGCCCUGUGUAGCCACCUGGAUGGAGAGGACCUGAGGCCUCCCACCAACAGCCAGCACCCACUUGCCAGUUGUGUAGGUGAGUCAUGUUGCACUGGAUCCUCCAAGCCCUUUAAGCCUUCAUAUGACAAAGUCCCCACCAAUAUGCAACUGUGGCUGAGUCAGAACCACCUAUCUCCUGUCCCACAGAAACUGUGAGCAAUAAUAAAUACUUGUUGUUAUUUUAAGCCACACACACACACACACAAAAAGAAAAAAGAAAAAAAAUUAAAAAAAAAAAGAAAAGACCCUUGAGAGAGCGGGAAUCAGGAAUAACUUGUUUUCCAGACACUGGAUCAGGAGAGCACUGACUAGUCAAGAAUGCACACAAGUAAGAUAAAUUAAAAAAAAAAAAAUCAGGAAGCACCACUAAGACAGAGUUUUAUUAGCAUACUGCAGUCUAGACUUCAGUUCAGAAGCUAAAAAAUCCAAAAUAACUUUAAGUCUGUAAAAUGAGGAUGAUACCACCUUCCUAAGAGGGUAGUUACGAAACUUACAUAAAAUAAGUUAACUGAAAAUGUUUUUGGAAGCACACAACACUACAUAAAAUAUAAAAGUUAUAGAACAAGGAACAAAGAUACCUGCGCUGACAGUGGGAGAUGGGGGCUCCUGGAACAGGGCGGUGGCCUGGGCCUGGUUGUACACUCUUGGAUGGCUCCCUUUACCCAGCUAAAUCUUUCCUGAGCCAGAAUCUCAUGUCUGAAAGUUCACCCUUUCUCUCCAUGCAAGUAUUCCUGGCACGUAUAAGAGCUUAAACUAAUUCACACUGAAGUAUUAACCACAUAGACUAA